AUUGAACGCUGGCGGCAGGCCUAACACAUGCAAGUCGAGCGGAUGAGAGGAGCUUGCUCCUCGAUUCAGCGGCGGACGGGUGAGUAAUGCCUAGGAAUCUGCCCAGUAGUGGGGGACAACGUUUCGAAAGGAACGCUAAUACCGCAUACGUCCUACGGGAGAAAGUGGGGGAUCUUCGGACCCCACGCUCUUGGCUGAGCCUAGGUCGGGAUAGCUAGUUGGUAGGGUAAAGGCCUACCAAGGCGACGAUCCGUAACUGGUCUGAGAGGAUGAGAAGUCACACAGGAACUGAGACACGGUCCAGACUCCUACGGGAGGCAGCAGUGGGGAAUAUUGGACAAUGGGCGCAGGCCUGAUCCAGCCAUGCCGCGUGUGUGAAGAAGGCCCUCGGGUCGUAAAGCACUUUAAGUUGGGAGGAAGGGUUUACAGCGAAUACCUGUGAGUUUUGGCGUUACCGACAGAAUCGGCACCGGCUAACUUCGUGCCAGCCGCCGCAGUAA
rnacentral:rRNA from 1 species